UAGGGAAUCUUCCGCAAUGGACGAAAGUCUGACGGAGCAACGCCGCGUGAGUGAAGAAGGAUUUCGGUUCGUAAAACUCUGUUGUUAGGGAAGAAAAAAUGUAUAGUAACUAUAUACAAAAGAGACGGUACCUAACCAGAAAGCCACGGCUAACUACGUGCCAGCAGCCGCGGUAAUACGUAGGUGGCAAGCGUUGUCCGGAAUUAUUGGGCGUAAAGCGCGCGCAGGUGGUUUAGAAAGUCUGAUGUGAAAGCCCACGGCUCAACCGUGGGGGGUCAUUGGAAACUAAUAAACUUGAGUGCAGGAGAGAAAAGUGGAAUUCCUAGUGUAGCGGUGAAAUGCGUAAAGAUUAGGAGGAACACCGGUGGCGAAAGCGGCUUUUUGGCCUGCAACUGACACUGAGGCGCGAAAGCGUGGGGAGCAAACAGG
rnacentral:rRNA from 1 species